GGAGAGGUCGCAUAGUGGUCUAGUGCGCACGCUUGGAAAGCGUGUGAGGUGUCAAAGCCUCCGAGGGUUCGAAUCCCUCUCUCUCCGCCU
rnacentral:tRNA from 2 species